ACUCCCAUAUCCCAUAUAUAUAUAUAUAUAUAUAUAUAUAUAUAUAUAUAUAUGUGUGUGUGUGUGUGUGUGUGUGU